UGCCAGCAGCCGCGGUAAGACGGAGGGGGCAAGCGUUGUCCGGAAUUACUGGGCGUAAAGGGCGCGUAGGCGGUCGCGUACGGCGGUGGUGAAAGCUCCCGGCUCAACUGGGAGAGGCCCGCCGCAACGGCGUGACUCGAGGGUGGUAGAGGCGGAUGGAAUUCCUGGUGUAGCGGUGAAAUGCGUAGAGAUCAGGAGGAACACCCGUGGCGAAGGCGGUCCGCUGGGCCAUGCCUGACGCUGAGGCGCGAAAGCUAGGGGAGUGAACGGGAUUAGAUACCCCGGUAAUCCUAGCCGUAAACGAUGGAUACUAGGUGUGCGCGGUAUCGACCCCGCGCGUGCCGGAGCUAACGCGUGAAGUAUCCCGCCUGGGGAGUACGGCCGCAAGGUUGAAACUUAAAGGAAUUGGCGGGGG
rnacentral:rRNA from 1 species